rnacentral:lncRNA from 1 species
GAAGUCUCGCUGUCGCCCAGGCUGGAGUGCGGUGGCGCGAUCUCGGCUCACUGCAAGCUCCGCCUCCCGGGUUCACGUCAUUCUCCUGCGUCAGACUCCCGAGUAGCUGGGACUACAGGCGCCCGCCAUGAUGCCCGGCUAAUUUUUUGUAUUUUUAGCAGAGACGGGGUUUCACCCUGUUAGCCAGGAUGGUCUCAUCUCCUGACCUCGUGAUCCGCCCGCCUAGGCCUCCCAAAGUGCUGGGAUUACAGGCGUGAGCCACCGCGCCCGGCCUAAUAAAGGACAAUUUUUAAUAGCCACUGGACUAUUUAAGUGAUCUCUUCUGUCAGUUUCUUUUACCAUCAGAGGACACAGCAGCAAGGUGCCAUCCUAGAAGCAGAGAGCAGACCCUUACCAGACAACCAACCAGCUGGUGCCAUGAUCUUGGACUUCUCGGCCUCCAGAACUAAAUACAGAUUUAUCUUUGUUCCAUGCCACUCCUGAUAGACAUUUACCUCCACCUUGGAAGAAUACAAAGGACUCCACUUAAAAGGCAAAUCAAGCCAAACCUUAUAAAGACAAGCCACAGACUUCAGGUUACAUGUUUUGAGUUCUGCACAAAAUAUUUGAAUGGGUGCUUCAUAAAAGAUGAUAUAUGAGGACUUGGGGCAGAACAAGAUGGCAGAAUAGAAGGCUCCGCCAAUUGUCCCUGCUUCAAGGACACCAAUUUAACAACUAACUACAUAAAAUAGCACCUUUAUAAGAACCAAAAAUCAGGCACUUAAACACGCAGCAUGAGGAAAAUGGAACAACAAUCUUGAGGUGCCUUCUGAAUCAUCAGAUUAAAUUAUGCUUCGGUCUUGCACUGCUGCCUAGGCUAGAGUGCAGUGGUGCAAUCAGGGCUCACUGCAGCCUCACUCAACUUCCCAGUCUCAAGCCAUCCUCCUACCUCAGCCUCUGUUCCACUAAUCUACUUGUCAAUUUUUCCAGCAACACCACACCCUCCUGAUCACCAUAGCUUUAUGGUAAGACACCCCUACUCUGUCCAGACCCAACUGUCAACAGAAGCCAAAGCCAUCUGGAGGAGCAUGCAACAACAAGAAACAAAUUUAUUAGCUAACCUAACCACUAAUGACGCAAGAGACAAUUCUAAGGACUUUCAAAACAGCAAAGUAGGAGCAGCUGCUACCUCUAGGGAUGAGGGAGAAACUCAAAAAUGCAUACAAAAACCAUUGCAUGAAAAGUGACUGGAUUUGUACAUAGCGUCAGGAGAUGUGCGUAGUGUCAAAGUAUCUCAUCACACAUUACUUGAUAAUUACAAAUGAGAAAAAUGAACCUUCACAGUGGCAAGACUUGACUUCUACCUCUUUCAAAAAGAUGCAAUUGUCCAAUUAUUGGUGAAAUUGUCAUUUCAUGCUAUUGGCUAUUUGAAAUUCCUCCUCUAAUUUCAGAAUAAAUCACUGAAAUUGACAUCGGCCAGUCUGAAUUUCAAGAAAUUACCUGCUGAAGACAAGAGGGAUCUCUUCUUCAGAUUUGCAGUCUGGGGAAGACACAGCCUCUACUGUACUUUAGAACCUGAGAUAUGGUGGUGGAGGGAGCCCUGGGUCGAGUGGUAAGAUUCACCCUUAGGUUAGUAUUGACGUAAGGUGACGAGGAGCUGUAGACAAAAGAUUGUAACCAUAAGAACUUCAUAGUUUUUGUAUUUUCACCGAGCUUAUAUUUGGUGUGUUUUUUGUCUUUUCUUUAUGAUUAUCAAUAAAAUGCUUGAAAGGAGAUGAGGUUGGGGAAUAAUUUUUGGGAAUACCACAAAAGACACUUUUGUGAUGGAAAUCCUUAAAAAGACACAAUCCAUUACCUCAUUGGGUUCAAAAGGCAAUUGUGAACUACUGUGGAGUUUGGAAAGAAGCAAUGAGGUAAUCAAGGAUACUGUUGACAAUCUAGCUUAUCCUAUGGAUGGAAGGAAAUUGAAACUAAUGGAGGCGAGGCUGGUAAAACAAUAGGGUUUGAGACAAUUCUGUGGCAUUAGAAAUGAAAGAGGAAGGUGAAUCCGGGAGACGGAGCUUGCAGUGAGCUGAGAUCGCGCCACUGCACUCCAGCCUGGGCGACAGAGCGAGACUCCAUCUCAAAAAAAAAAAAAAAGAAAGAAAGAAAAGAAAGAGGAAGUAAUAAUCUGUGAAAUUUUUCCUUAGGAACUUAUUGGCAAUUUAAAAAUGAAUUUGUUAAGCCAUGCUGGUUCUGACCCAAAAGCCAUUCCCCAGCCUUCCUCACUCCCCUCUUUCACUACUGGCAGAGAUUGUCUCUCAUUUUACAAGCUGAAAAUGCCAGAUGCUUGCUUUUACAGUCUUCCUUACACCCAGAGCAUGUGCAUAUGUUUAAACGGUCAAGAAGAAGUCAUAACAUGGGUGUCUGGGAGAGCUUUUAUCCCACAAAAACAACACUUCACUCAAAAAACAAACCAAACAAAGAAAAAUUCUCCUUCCUGCCAUUGGAUGUGAGGCUCAGACCUCUAGUAACCAUUUUGUGACCACAAAGCAACAAGCCUGAGGAAAAGUCCUACACGCUGAGCAACAGGCAGAAAUAUUGCCAUCGCUGAGUUGCAGAAACAAAUCUAGAGAUGUUUUGCUUCUGUAAUUAUUUUUUAUGGGAGAUUACAAGUGGGUUUACUGUUCACUUUUCAAAUCUUAUUUCUCUAUGAUGUUUAGCUUGGGUAAAUUUUACCUUAAAUCCACUUUUUUAUGUAAGGUAACAUAUUUGUCGGUUUCAAGGAUUAAGAUGUGGGCAUACUUGGAGGCCAUUAUUUUGCCCACCACAGGUGAAAAAGGAAGUGUUAUUCUUAAAUCAUUUGGAAGGAUCUCUGUGUAAAUGCAAGAGCGAGACAAGAAAAUGCUGUCAUUCUUUUGAUAUGGACUCGAAUUUCCACUUCAUGGUUGUCUGCUUCCUUUUUAGAGUAUUAUUUAUCCUCCUAAUAAAAAGAAAGUGAAAUUUCCCAUUUCUUUACAUUUGUUGGCUUUUGGUUAGUCAUUUUGAAGAAGACCUUUGGAGAGGACCUAAUAUUGUAAAAGUGAUAGAUUUAGAUUGUUCUAAUAACAGAGUUAGUAGGCUUGAAUACAAUCCUUUUUGUAUUUAGAAGACACAGAACUCUGUUGCAUGAGGUUUAUAUCCUUUUUGAAGCAGGAGAAUUUGGUUACAUAGCAAUAGAAAAAUUUAGUAGGACAAUUUAUUUUCAAAUUAGGGCAAGAGAAAUGCUUUUUUCUCUGUUAAGUAGUUAACAAAAUGAUUAAUUUUAUUAACUCACUAGAGCAUAAGAUAAAUUUUGAGAAAGUCUCCAGAUUUUGUGUAGUUAUUGCCUAAAACACUUUACAUGGCUUUGGAACCUUGUGCUAUAUGGAUUACUUAGCUAUGGCUUUGAUAGCUUUUUGGCUAGGAGAGACUUCAAUAAUUAAACUGAUAAUUGCUUUAAUCUGGGCUUUGUUUUUAUAUCUACUUCUGGCUUCCACUUAAUGGAGGUAGAGAUACUAGCUAGCAGUCAAACUACUUAUGCUAUAGAUAUUGUGUUAGGAAAAACAACUUUUUAUUUCUUUUUAAGAAAUGUUUUAAAAAUCAAUGUUUCUCUGGAAAUUUACAGUCUCCUUGGAGAGGAAUGUCUAUAACAUUAAAUUUAUUGUUGAUUUUAACCUCAUGCAAUCCAUGUACAUGGCUCUUGCUCAUCCUCCAUUACUUUAUUUUGUUAUUAUUAUUGUUUUUACACAGAGCCCACUUAUGUGUGCAUGAAGAACAAGACUAUUUUAAGCAACUGAACAAGGUAUCACUGCAACCUGGGAAACAACUUUGAUCCUUCAAUUUCUCCACAAUUAAUUCUGUGGCAGGUAGCUUAGGAAUCCCAAGCAGGCAUAGAAACCAUGAUGAGGUCUCCUGUGCAAACCUCUCCAGAUCUGAAACAGCCCCUGCAAAUGCUGAUUGCUUGCAAAUGCAACUGUCUAGGUUACAUACAAAAUGAACAUAAUAAGUUUUUAUUUCCCAUGGUGAUACACCAACAGCUACAUUCGGCUUCUAAUAGUCUGCAAUUCAGUAAUAAUAGCUUGGUUCAGUUUAGUUUAUUGAAGACAUAAAAAUACUUGGCAGCCAGAGGCUGGAAUGCAUGGUUCAAGGGAACAAGAUUCCAACAGGGACCACAGGACCUGUACGUGGAACAUGGGUAUACUCAGCAUUUAGCAGCUAUGAUUUAUUCAUUUGGUGAAAAGCAGCAUUCCAUAAAUAUGAUUUAUGUAAUUACUGAGGAGGGAAUUCAAUCUCUAAUUUUAUAGAAGGGUACCUCAGAAUUUUGUUGCACACACCUCACCUUUUUAAUAACAUUUCUUUUGGCAGAAAAUAUUUCAAUGCCUCACUUUUCUCAGGAGAAAACUCUUCAUUUUCAUCUUUUAGAGAGGAAAGAAAAAAAAUAUCAAGUUGCUUUUCUCAGUAACUGGCUUGAGAGCUUAGGCAUUACACAUCUCUGCUGUGAAACCGAAGGAUUUCUUGAAUUCAGCUCAAAUAUCUUAAGCAGAGCUAUUUGGGUAUAAUUUUUUAAUCAAAAAUGUAUCUUCUAGAGGUGAAAAUUUAAAACUUUAGACUGGAAAAUAUUCAUUUAACAUAAGAUGCCGUUAUUAGGUGCUAGAAAGUUUAGAUAAUGUUGGUAAUGAAAUCCACCAUAUUUUUAUUUAUCUUCCACAUUAAUGAAACUCGCUUAAUAUUUGGACUAAGAAGACCUGGGCACAAUUAGCACUGUAUCUCAACUCAACUAUGCAACACACUUGACCGUAUGAGCUUCAGGAAUCUGUUGGCUUCCCUAAGCUUUGGUUUAUCCAUUUACCAAAUGAAGAGUUUGUCAGCCAUCUGCCUUAUCUGCUACCUCACAGAUGUGUUUUAAGUAUACCUGAAUAUCAAAUAGAAUAAUAAAUGCAGAAAUGGUAGGUCAACUUUACAGAAUUUUGUGAGCUUUUAUUAUUUCAUAAAAAGUAGGCCAGUGACACCAUGAAGAUAUGUUCUUUGAGCUGUUCCUACGUUGGUAACAGUGGCAUUACACAAUUCCACAUACUCUGCCAGCCUCUUUGUUGCUUGUGAUACAAAAUUGUAACUAGUGAUGAACCAAGGAUUAAGGUAGUCUGUUACUAUAGUCAUGGGAGACAAUCUGGGAAUGACACAAAGAAUCCUGGUUCAAGAUGGAGGUCUUUCAGUGUGUGAUUUUGGGUAACUCACUGAAUUUUUUUAAACCUCAGUUAUCUCAUCUGUAAAAUAUUUGAAUAAAACCCCUUGAUACUGUGCCUCCAGACUGCUCCAUCAAAAGAAGCAAUGGAAACUCUUUGGAAACCUAAAACCCACAAAUGGAAAUUGUUAUCAUUUAUCUUAUAUUUGGACAUGCUAACCUUUAGCAUUGACAAAUGCCAUUAUGUAAAAUACAAUUAUUUCCUCAUAAAAGCUUAAUGCUGUACUGGUGAAGGAGAUAAUCCUUUCUGUUUGUUUUCUAUGAUAAACAGCUUUCAGUAUAAUUGCAGUAAAUAAAAUCUGUAAUGUCUUUAUAAAUCUUUAUUUAGUCAGAACCAUGACUAUUUCAUAUAGUGACCUUUUCUUUUGAAAAUGAUGAGUCUUCUUUGUCAAUAAAAACUUGAGGAGUUUACAAACAGAC